rnacentral:tRNA from 1 species
GGGCCACUAGCUCAUCCGGUAGAGCACUGCCCUUUUAAGGCAGGAGUGCCGCGUUCGAGUCGCGGGUGGCCCACCA